GCACUACUGAGGAGUCUCACAAUUGGACGAAACGGCAGUCCAGUAC
rfam:Schistosoma mattheei strain Denwood, Zambia genome assembly, scaffold: SMTD_scaffold0005963